AUGGGUGUUGGCUCCAACAAUUCGCAUUGGUCUCAAACCAGUGACAUGCAUUUCGAAAACCAUGAGUUCGAGGUGGACGAGGAUGGUGAGGGCAUUGUCGACGCACCGAAAGGAAGAGGAUGCAACUACACCAACGACAAAGACAUCUUGCUAUGCAAAACUUGGUUGGACGUGUCGAGGGAUCCAUCCGUUAGAGGUGACAAAGUAGAGAUGCUUAUUGACUCCGGAUGA
rnacentral:rRNA from 1 species